GACGAACGCUGGCGGCGUGCUUAACACAUGCAAGUCGUACGGUAAGGCCCUUUCGGGGGUACACGAGUGGCGAACGGGUGAGUAACACGUGAGUAACCUGCCCACAACUUUGGGAUAACGCUAGGAAACUGGUGCUAAUACUGGAUAUGUGCUCCUGCUGCAUGGUGGGGGUUGGAAAGCUCCGGCGGUUGUCGAUGGACUCGCGGCCUAUCAGCUUGUUGGUGGGGUAGUGGCCUACCAAGGCGGCGACGGGUAGCCGGCCUGAGAGGGUGACCGGCCACAUUGGGACUGAGAUACGGCCCAGACUCCUACGGGAGGCAGCGGUGGGGAAUAUUGCACAAUGGGCGCAAGCCUGAUGCAGCAACGCCGCGUGCGGGAUGACGGCCUUCGGGUUGUAAACCGCUUUCAGCAGGGACGAAGCUUUUUGUGACGGUACCUGCAGAAGAAGCACCGGCUAACUACGUG
rnacentral:rRNA from 1 species